rnacentral:lncRNA from 1 species
UUAGAGGGACUUGUCAGUUGUAGCAGAACAUUUUAAUUGUAGUAAAAUACAGACAACAUAAAAUUUGCCUUCCUAACCAUUUUACGAAUGUGAAGUGCACUUUUUUAAAAAAAUAAAACUGUAUAGUCCAGAACUGAUAAGUGCAUUCUCAUUAUGGUGUAACUGAAAGAGGGAAAAAUUCUGAGAUGUUUUAAAUUUCAUUCCAGACCAGAGGAUGGAGGAGAAAAGAAAGAAACUAUUCACUUAACAACUGUGAACCAAGCCCCAAACCAAACAAAUACACAACACCAAAGACAAAAGCUGUUCCAUAUUCGUGAGCACAUGUAGAAUUCUCUGAUUUGAAGCUCCCGGAGGAUGACAUCUAGGUGCCAUGGCAUUCUGCUUAUAGCCCCAACCAUCCAGGAAGCAAAAAGGACUUCUCCUAGACCAUCACCAUCCACCAAACUCUGCCUGAUGCAUGUUGACCUGUCCCUGUUAUCUACAGUCAAUGCAGAUUCAGUGAAAGCAAUUUAUGCUUUCUUUUUCACAGAUUUUCCUUAUAAAAUGCUUUAAAAAAAAUCUGGCAGACAUUUUUCUAACUGCUACCUAUGUAGUUGGUGGCAUGGGGGAACUUUCCAUGGGAUCCAGCCUUUCUUUCUGGCUACAUUUGUGUAUGGCUGAAUAAAUCCUUUAAUUUCAGAGAUCUUUUGGUCUUUAGAAUUUUCAUUGAACACAACCAAUCUCCAGAACUCUCUUCAUCUUGCAAAAUGGAAGCUCUGUAU